rnacentral:lncRNA from 1 species
GAGAUUCGAGGACAACAUCCCCCACAGCUGCGAGAAAGAUCCCGUGGUCGUCGAUUUACUUCCGGACGCUCCAUACGACAUGCAGAUCGCCAAUUGCUGCAAAGCAGGGGUGAUAAGUACGUUCAAUCAGGACCCGGCAAAUGCUGUUGCCUCCUUCCAGCUCAGUGUAGGUCUUUCUGAGACUACCACUAAGGCCGUUAGGGUGCCAAGGAACUUCACUCUUAAGACUCCAGGUCCUGGGUACACAUGUGGGCGUGCCAUUGUUGGCAGGCCGACAAGGUUUUUCACCCCGGAUGGGCGCAGGGCAACCCAAGCUCUUAGUAAGUUGCUCAUCUAUUGGACUUUACAUUUUGCUUGCCAUCAGUUGCUUCUAAAAUUGUAGAAAUUAGUUACAAGGUAAACCAUAGUAGCCCUUCUUUUAAGUUUUAAUCAUGAUUGCGAGAAAAUUGGCGUCACAGCACUGUUGUAUACAAGUGAAAAUGCAAGAGGCAUUGCUCUGAAAUGGGAAAAGGUUCACGAGGAGUUUUUUUUUUUACGACAGGUUACUGCUAGGUUCCACGGAUUGUCUCCGUUUCAGUUAAUUUUCUCUCUAGUAAAUAAUGUAUUUUAAAUCCAUAGAAUCAUCAUAAGGUUCCACACAAGUUGUGUUGCAUAAGUUUUAUUUCAGUGGAGUUUAUUAACUUGAUGUGUUUUAACACAGACAUUUUAUAUCUACAGUGACAUGGAAUGUUACUUGCACCUAUUCUCAGUUUCUUGCUCAGAAGACUCCAUCCUGCUGUGUAUCUCUCUCAUCCUCCUACAACAGCACAACCGUGGACUGCCCAACAUGCUCUUGUGGCUGCCAAAACCCAAAAGGGACAAACUGUGUGAAGUGAGUCGACUGUUUAUUUCUACUCUUAAAUCUUUGUAUUCUCCCUGAUGUUAACAUUCCAUUCUUUUUCUCUGCAAAUGUUCUAAUAAUAAGUUGGUGCAUUUCACAGUAAGGAUUCACCUCAUCUACCAUCUGCCAUUGACGGCCCUGGCAAAUGGACUGGCCAGCCUCUCGUCGAGUGCACUUCCCACAUGUGCCCGGUAAGAAUCAACUGGCACGUGAAGCAGAACUUCAAGGACUACUGGAGGGUGAAGAUCACCAUCACAAACUUCAACUUCCGCAUGAACUACACGGAGUGGAACUUAGCCGUUCAGCAUCCAAACUUGGACAAUAUCACCCAGCUGUUCGGCCUCAACUACAAACCAUUGACCCCAUACGGCGCCGGCAUAAGUAAGCAAACAUUGAUAGCCUUUCAUAGAAAGAUUAUGAACCUUCCCCUUUUUUAUCUUUCUGAUGUAGUUUUUCUUGGACCCUUUUCAGAUGACACGGCAAUGCUCUGGGGUGUAAAACCCUACAACGAUGUGCUGAUGCAAGCCGGCAAUAAGAUUGGGAGUGUGCAGGGCGAACUGCUUCUCCGCAAGGACUCCCAGACUUUCACCUUCGGAAAGGGAUGGGCCUUCCCACGCCGUGUGUACUUGAACGGCGAUAACUGUGUCAUGCCAGCUCCUGAAAAUUAUCCGUCGUUGCCGAAAGAACCAUCCGGGUGACCAUGGUUGAUUGUCAUUUCCACAGAAUAAACGUUAUGAGCAGGCUUGAUCGCAUAGAUCGUUUGUACUUAGAAAAUGAAAGGCUACUGCUGGCUGCGCCAGAACUCGGUGGCCUACGGGUUAUGAUUUACGCUGUGACUUGAAUAAGUGAUGAGUUCAUCAUCGAUUAACCAGCUGCAGCAGGAAGUUUGAUGAUGUGAAUCUGUGUGGUUGGAUGAUUGGAUCGAUGGAUGCAAAGCCAUCUCUUGGGCCCAAAGGUAAACAAACCGAGUGGUCGUUCUUGGGCUCUGUUGCCAGCCCACACCUUCUUGCCACCAUCCCGCACAGCUACUGCCUCAGAAGCCAUCAGAACAUCUUCCAGGUGAUCAUACCAUUGGGCCCGAGCACAGAUCAGCUCGCCAUGCUCGUCUCUCACCACAGCACCUGUAGCAGCUCCAUUUCCUCUCUCCCUGUAGAAAGCCGCAUCUGCAUUAAUUUUGACUGCACCCGGUGUUGGCUUUUUCCAGGAGACUCUAGUUCUAGUGACCUGCAUAGGUUUCUGAUGUAUCUGCAACAGGUCCUCAAUCAUUUUGGUUGCAUAAUGCGCCGCAGCAUAAGGGCUCCACGCUGGCUUACCAUGUUGUCUUGCAUUUCUACCAGUCCAAAGUGACCAGCAUCCGCACAUGUAGAGAGUCAGCUCCUCCUCCGAGCAUACACCUCCCACCAGCAGGUCCUUCGCCCAAGUGAGAGGAUGCAGCAUUGGCAUCUUCCUGCCCGUCAUCCCUUUGAUGCACUCCCACUCCCAGAAACGUAGUGCAUAUGUGCACUCAAACAUCGAAUGACAAACCGCCUCCGAUGAAUGGCCACAGUCUGCACAAAAACUUUCCCUCGCAACGUGACGUCGGUGCAAGACUGCCUUUGCCUAGCUAAGCUGUCCACAUUCCCCCGGCAUUCCUUCCACUAGCUGCCAUGCGGACCCCACCGCGGAUCGGUUUUCCCAGCUACAAGCUCCACUCAUUCCAUGCUUCCGUUGGGAAAGAAAUGCAACACAUGGAGGUUGUUAGAGGAGCCGGGCUAUAGACUAGUACAGCUGGAGAUCUUGACGCCGAUACCGAUUAGUUAAUUAAUUAAGCGCAAAAAUCAAUUAAUAAUUUAAAUUAAUCUCGCAUGGUUCGCCACGGGUUGUUGGUACGUCCAGGUUGCAGCACCUACCGCCGCGAUGGCGAUGGGGUCUACAGCGUUGGUUGGUGGACCGGGCUCACGGUCGCGCUCGGCCCCUCGUCCCCUGGCCUGCUGCAAUUUGCGUGGCGCACCGCUGGUGAUCAGUGAAGUGGCGCUGCUCUUUUCUUUUCUUUUUUUUGUUUUCGUUUUCGCCCUCCACCGACAGAAAGAGGGAGGAGGGGCUCUGUCGUGCCCGCGUUUCUUUAUUCCCUCCAGUGUCGGCUCGCAUGUGUGCGUUUAGCCUCGCCUCAUGGGGGUGGUCAUCGCCCUCUGUCAUUACUUAAUCCCACUCGUAAAGCUUCGCACUGAUUGGUCGUUCCGGUUUUGCCCCUGGCGACUGGGACUCUCAGGCUGCAGCAGCUGACUGAACGCUCUUUCACAGUUCACAUGAACACGAUGGUGAUCUUCUGUGCCCAAUUCUGGCUUUACCUCCAGAACUUGUAAUGGUAUCUUUUAGAAGUAAUCUAGUGUCAACUAAAUAUAGGGAUUUGAAUCCUUUCCCACUAUCAAAAGCAUGAUAUUUGAAAUUUGUUUUAUAGUAACCGACAAUGGGAAUUCUUCCGUUGGAUUCAAACUUCUGUUUUCUCCAUGAUGUUUGUUUUAACGAAAGGAGCACGAGAGUGUGCCUAUUUCAUUGAUAAAGAUGAGGGUUACAUCCGGCUAAACCGGAAAGAAAAACGAAAGGAAAAAAAUUAGGAAAACAACAAAGGCGUUAUACUUCCUCCACGAUGUUUUGCACCACUCCAAUUUAUUAUGCAGUUAAUUGAACAAUAAAAGCGGCAAUAAGGAUCGACUUUUUCAUCAGCCUCUUGUGUAUCGCUGUUCCCGUGCAAAGUCCCUGAAGCGCUAGAUUUUCAGCUUUCACUUACCGUUAAUCACCUGUCCGGGCUGUCCCUGUCCCCAAGCGAACAUCACCAACAGCUGUGCAUCACCAGAGGGGCAUUCCGGUAAAUGUCCGCCGGAGGUUGAGGCGUCCACAUCUACUCCCCUCGCGGCAAGAAACGUCCCCGAUAUAACCCCACCCGCACCGAGGCGCGGAAGGAAGCAGCCGCUGCGGAGCAGAGUGUGUCGUGCUGGCUGCCGUCGCAGUAAAAACAGGGGAGGGGAGACGAGGACGCGGCCGCUGCCUGCCGCACAUGCUUUAAGUCUCACUCCCCACCGCCCCAGAUCUCCGCCUCUCUUCCCACCUCCCCACAUUCCCCGGCGCCCCCCUCCCCGCGCGGCCGCAACCGCCGCCGCUGUCAGGAGCGAGAUCGGCGGGGCAGACGGGCGCGGCGCUUGUAUCUGUCGGUGGGAGAGACCCGCGGUGUCGGUGAGGAGGCGGGUGGGAAGGAAGUGAAGGUAGGAAGGAUGGCAGCGGGCGGCAGAUCCGUAGCGUACUGCGCCGCCGUGCUGCUCGCGGCCGCGCUGCUCCUCUCCGCACCGACUGGCACAGGUUCGGCACCUCGGCUCCUCCUCUUCCUCUCUGUGUAUGUCGUCCUGCUUGUGCCGCGAAUUCGCGAGCUAGGUAGAUCCGGCGCCCGAUCGCCGUCGCGUCUGAUGCAACGGGAGCUCGGAGAGCUGCGAUGAUGAUUCCGCUCCCGGUGUCCGUUGCGCGCUGACAAAUGCGGCCCCGUUUGGCUGGUACGGUCAGUGUCGGUGGCUCCAGUGCAGUGUCGGUGUCUUCUAAUUUUGAUCCCACCGUUCUCCAAUUCAGCUCGAUCCUUCGAGCUUUCUCGGUUGCUCCAAUUAUGAUUCGAAAUUAAGUUGGCUUAGCUUCUCGGGAUCGGGAGAGUAGCACACAUGGAGAUGGAGCUGCCCUCUCAGGCUAACCACUUAACCAGGGCCACUGUCAGCUGAAUCUUGUCCUGAGCUGCUCCAUACUGAGCACCUUGAUGAUAGAUCUGUUGAAGAAGUGAUCAAAUUAGUCAAGAUCUUAGUUAAUUCUAGUUCACUUUAAAGGGAUCCAGUGGCAAACUUAGGUGUGUGGAUCUUCCAACUUGGAAUGGGAUGUAACAUAGACUUCAUCUAUUGUGCCAAUUCAUUGUUCUUGCUUCUGUAAUUGGGAUCUGUGUUUGAUGUGGACCCUUUGUUGCUCCUGCAGAGGCUUAUGAUUCCUUGGAUCCAAAUGGCAACAUCACUAUAAAAUGGGAUAUUAUGCAGUGGACUCCUGAUGGAUAUGUCGUAAGUAGCAUGCCCACUCCAACAGCUGCAUCUCUUUCAUCUUCAACCUUGUAGGACCUUAUAUAUUCUAUUGAAUGUUCCGGUUUGACCUGUACAAUAUAUGUAAAAUGGCCAAUGGCUAGAGUAGAAAGCUACAUCACAGAUAACAAGAAUAACAUGCAAAAUUUAUGUCAGCAGCAUGCUACGCAUACCCAAUUCAUGAUUUCCCAUAAAAUCUCUCCUGCAGGCUGUUGUCACAAUGUUCAACUACCAACAAUUCCGGCACAUUGGGGCACCUGGGUGGCAGCUUGGGUGGACAUGGGCAAAGAAGGAGGUCAUAUGGUCGAUGGUUGGGGCACAGACUACCGAACAGGGUGACUGUUCGAAGUUUAAGGGCAACACUCCCCACUGCUGCAAAAAAGAUCCCACGAUCGUCGAUUUACUUCCAGGCACUCCAUACAACAUGCAGAUUGCCAAUUGCUGCAAAGCAGGAGUUAUAAAUACAUUUAACCAGGACCCGGCAAAUGCUGCUGCCUCCUUCCAGAUUAGUGUAGGUCUUGCUGGGACUACCAAUAAGACUGUUAAGGUGCCGAAGAACUUCACUCUUAAGACUCCAGGUCCUGGGUACACAUGUGGGCGUGCCAUUGUUGGCAGGCCGACAAAGUUUUUCACCUCGGAUGGGCGCAGGGCAACCCAAGCUCUUAGUAAGUUUCUCAUCUAUUGGACUCUACAUUUUACUUGCUAUCAGUUGCUUGUGUACUUUGUGGAAAUGAGGUACAUCUAAAUCAUCGUAUUGUUCAGCGUGUUCCUAUUCCUUAAUCAGAAUUUCAGGUUACGUUACUUGCCAGAUUAGUUUUUUUCUCGAACAUGCAGGAGAGCUGCGUAUCUAUAUAUUAAGAAGUACUUGCCAGAUUAGUAAAGAAAUGAAAACGUUUUAACAGGAGGGAUUUAUUCUCAAAGAAGGAAUGCUAACUGAUAUCUUUUGACAAUAAGCUGCUGCUAGGCCCAAUAAAAUGUAGUCUUUUUUUUUGUUCUUCACAAAAUAAUAAAUUAAAAUUGCAGAUAGUUGUAGGAAAGUUUCCGAUUCCAUACAAGUUGCUGUUCUGCCAAAAUUUUAUUGUAGAGGUUUUUAUUUCACUUGAUGGUUCUUAAUAAAGACAUUCUCUAUCUGCAGUGACAUGGAAUGUGACUUGCACAUAUUCCCAAUUUCUUGCUCAAAAGACUCCAUCCUGCUGUGUCUCUCUUUCAUCAUUUUACAAUGACACAAUUGUGAACUGCCCAACAUGCUCUUGUGGCUGCCAAAAUCCAAAUGGGUCAAACUGUGUGAAGUGAGUUUACCUACUUUUUACUCUUAAUACACUUCAUACUAAGGUUCUAUUUUGUCUUUAUAAAUGUCUAAUGAGUAUGGUUUCAUUUUCACAGUGAGGAUUCACCUAAUCUACAAUCUGCAAUUGAUGGCCCUGGAAAAUGGACUGGUCAGCCUCUUGUACAAUGCACUUCCCACAUGUGCCCGAUAAGAAUCCAUUGGCAUGUGAAGCUCAACUACAAGGAAUACUGGAGAGUGAAAAUCACUAUCACCAACUUCAACUUCCGCAUGAAUUACACGCAGUGGAACUUAGUCGCUCAGCAUCCAAACUUUGAUAAUAUCACUCAGCUGUUCAGCUUCAACUACAAACCACUUACCCCAUAUGGCAGUGGCAUAAGUAAGAAACUUGUCUUCUUUUCAAAAAAAGAAAUCAAAAUAAUCUCCCUCCCUCCCCUGAUGUUGUUUGCUUGUCCCAUUUUCAGAUGAUACGGCUAUGUUCUGGGGUGUAAAAUUCUACAAUGAUUUGCUGAUGCAAGCUGGUAAACUUGGGAAUGUGCAAUCAGAACUACUUCUCCGCAAGGACUCCCAGACUUUCACCUUCGAAAAGGGAUGGGCCUUCCCACGCCGAGUGUACUUCAAUGGUGACAACUGUGUCAUGCCAUCUCCUGAAAACUAUCCAUGGUUGCCCAACGCAAGCCCUCUAACAAAACAACCGCUGACCCUCCCACUUUUAGUAUUCUGGGUUGUGUUGGCUACUCUGUUGGCAUAUGCAUGAUGAGUGGGAUCAAGAGGUUUAGUGAGCUUCAAGUUGAUGUCAGAUUCCAUGAGGUGCACUGCAACGGGUCAUUUGUUCAUUCAAUUCCAUGGUUGCACAGAAGAGAUGACACCACGCUGAGAAAAAAAGUUUAUGUGUGUGUGUUUUUGUAAGUUAAAGGGCCGAAAUGUAUUUCUUGUUUCGUAUAUACUGGCCCCACAACACUUAGUUACUGCAAACUAGGUAAUUACAGUUGCACCUUUUGUAUUUUAUAGCAAACUCAGAAUUUUUCAUUGGAUUAUAUGACCUCUUGUAGUAAAUGCGCGGUUUUCGUUUUGUAAGAUUUGUUGAACAGAAAAGACAAUGAUGAUUGAGAUCACUAAGUUCUGGCAUCUUAAUUCAUUCCUGCUGCUCACUGAGCUUUUUGAGCUAAAUAGAUAACAUCUACUAAUGGUCAUUUUCACUGAACCAAAAGAGCAAGAACACAGAACAAGAAUAAUUGCAACACUGGGUUUAUUUACUACAGAAACUGCAAACCGCAAUCAUGAAUUGGCGCUCAUGUUAAUUUGCAGCAUCAAUUAAGAUGAUCUAUGACUGUGAAUCGUAAAAUGACCUAUCAAUAAAAGGAUGAUGUAAAUUCUAGUUGGCCUGGGAACUCCUAGGAGCCUGCUUAGUUGCUGUGCCUUGUCACAUACCAAAUGCUUAGGAAGCAGUUCUGAGCCGCUGAGAAGAAUAGCAAAAGGAUAGUUUGCUGAUAGUUGUGGCUUGUGGGCUACUGCCUAGUUGAAGAAUGGCCUGACAGGACAGGUGCUAUAUAAUUGUGUACACAACAUAUAUCCUUGAACGAAACUGGAUCACAGAUUUCUACCUAUGAUACUGCAGGCCUUGUUUAGUUCCCAAUUUGGGAGUGGCAAAAUUAGCAUUUUGCCAUAAAUGCGCAACUGUAGCAUUUCGUUUGUAUUUAUGAAUUAUUGUCCAAACAUUGACUAAUUAGGCUCAAAAGAUUCGUCUCGCAAAGUACAACAAAACUGUGCAAUUAGUUUUUGAUUUCAUCUACAUUUAGUACUCCAUGCAUGUACCGCAAGUUUGAUGUGAUGGGGAAUCUUUUUUUUGCAUAGUGCCAAAGUUGGGAUUUUGGAGGGAAGUAAACAAGGGCUGAAGUUCUAACCAGGAGCUGGAAGCAACGGAAGUACAAAACUGCAGAUUCAAUAAUAGAUCUAACCAGAGCAAAGAGCAACACUCAAAAUUAUAACAGAACCACAACAAUGAAAUAUUUUAAUACCUGCAAAAUACAUCUCAUAAUCUUAUGAGCAACAAACGAAUUCAUCGAAACAACUCACUUUAUAUUCGAUGCAGUUGGAUUGCUCUGAACCCACUCUGAAGAAACAUGGCCUUCUGUGAAGGAAACCAAAGCUUUUGGCUUGUGCCCAGCCUCAUCGUGCUAGUGCUCUGAAGCCUCAGAGAGUCAGAGAUCAGAGGAGGGCAUAUGCCACCAUGACCUGGUAUAUAUAUCCAGGAGAGACCAUAGAUGCAGUGCAGUCGAAGGAUGGGCUGAUGGUUCGGCCGUAGCUUUUGGUUUGUUGGCUAGUUGCGGUUCAAAGCAAACCCUGGCUUCUCAUCACCCUCACCUUCCACACGUUGGUUUUUGC